rnacentral:lncRNA from 1 species
CAGAUGCAAGCGCAUUUCUGGGAAGCUGUGGCCACUCAGGACCUUGCAGAUCAGCAAGCAACGCUGGCGGCUUUGGCCUCUGGGAAUGGCUGUGAAUGUUAACACCCAAUCUGCCCGUGAUGCUGGUGAAGAGACGUGGUCAGUUCGAGAGUCCCACGCUGGUCUGAGACUUCAUAGUUGGAAGCUGGAGAGUUAAGUCUGACCUCUGCCUGCAGAGUUCAUGCCCUUAGCCGUGGUGCUGUGCGACACUGAAUGUGGACUGGAUCACUUUUCUCCUCCAUUGCCUUAGAACUUACAGCUGGAGACUUUAAGAGCUGGACCAGUGUUCAUGCACCCACCAGGGAUCCCUCAUGCCCUGCAGGGAACUGACUAUGGCAGACAUGGUGAGGGAUAGUGUCGCCAAUGGAUAACAGCUUUGCCCUUAGGCCACCUGCAACUCAGCUCUUCAUCCUGACUGCAGAAGGUCCAGUAUCACCCUCUCUGUUUCUCCACUGGCCACACUCCAGCCUGGGUAGGAGGCUGUGGGCUCUCUGAGGAUUAUGUGAUGUUCUCACGAUGUCCAUUGGCUUGCCAGUCCAUACCCUGUCCCUCAAACCAGGCUAUGGGAAGCCUCUACCACUCUUGGGGCCCUUCUGUCGCCCUGGGAGCAUAAUGCUUUCAGGAAACCCUGCCCACAGCAAGAAAGACAGGUGGAACUGGGUAGGUCACCACAAGGGCCAGCCCCUCUAGCCCCUCCGGGAUGGAAAGCCUAGGGCUCCGUAGCCUAGAGGACCUACUAAGAAGACUUCCCAUAACCCAGCCCCAAGUCCUCCGUGCUUGAUUCUAAACUAUGACACCCCUUCCACAAAUCCCCGAAUUCUCCUCCAUGUCCCUCACAUCAGCCUGAAGAGGUUCCUGAUGAAAAACCUGGGCUGGCAUUAAAAGCCAGUUCUUACAAGGCUGUCAGCAAGCCCCCGGCUUCUCUCUGAAGUGCCCUGCCAAGGUUAGGAGAGAGGGCAGGAGGCUGUGGAAGCUGUAGGAGCCCGAAGAGGAGGGCAGAAGUAGAUACCAGAGCAACGGCUUUGGGGUGAGGGGAGAGGACACCACUGAUAUUCAGACUAUGCAGGACAAAGAGAACAAAAGUAAGAGAUCUCACACACACACACACACACACACUCAGGGUUGGCAAUGCUGACAACUGAAACCCGAAUGCUGAUGACCUGGGACCUGUGGUCUAUCCUGUCCUCAAGCCCAGGGAAACCUUAGAGACAGUCUUCAGGCAGGAACUGUGAGUCCUACCUACUCAGUACUGGAGAGGGAGAAGCUUCAGGCUGGGCUGAGCACAGCUUUAUGCCUGCUGUCCCUCCCCUCCUCGCCCCCUGCCCCCAGGCCAUAGUCUGGUAGCCUUGUCUUUUGAUCAUAAACAUGUAUGACAGUAGAAAAAAAAACCUGAAAACUCUGAGCCAAAUUAGGACUAGGUGGGGGACAGGGACCCAGCACAUUCCCUGGGACCCAGGAAGGCCGGGCGGGACACUAGGAGUUUGCAAGGAGGUAGAAGAGGU